AGUCAACUUGAAUUUGGGUUUUUAACUUAGAUUUGGGUGGCGGACGGGUGAGUAACGCGUAAAGAACUUGCCUCACAGCUAGGGACAACAUUUAGAAAUGAAUGCUAAUACCUGAUAUUAUGAUUUUAAGGCAUCUUAGAAUUAUGAAAGCUAUAAGCACUGUGAGAGAGCUUUGCGUCCCAUUAGCUAGUUGGAGAGGUAACAGCUCACCAAGGCGAUGAUGGGUAGCCGGCCUGAGAGGGUGAACGGCCACAAGGGGACUGAGACACGGCCCUUACUCCUACGGGAGGCAGCAGUGGGGAAUAUUGGACAAUGGACCGAGAGUCUGAUCCAGCAAUUCUGUGUGCACGAUGAAGUUUUUCGGAAUGUAAAGUGCUUUCAGUUGGGAAGAAAGAAAUGACGGUACCAACAGAAGAAGUGACGGCUAAAUACGUGCCAGCAGCCGCGGUAAUACGUAUGUCACGAGCGUUAUCCGGAUUUAUUGGGCGUAAAGCGCGUCUAGGUGGUUAUGUAAGUCUGAUGUGAAAAUGCAGGGCUCAACUCUGUAUUGCGUUGGAAACUGUAUAACUAGAGUACUGG
rnacentral:rRNA from 1 species